AUUUUUGUUCAUAUAAUACUCCGAUUCCUACAGAGCACAUCCACCAUCCGAUUACAGCUGAUCUGAACGGCUGUGGCACAUAAAAAAAGGAAGAGAAUUCUGCGGUUUUAUUCAGCGGAGUUGAAUGAUGGCGAGUUAGAAGGUCAUCAUUAUUUUCUGCUGGCUCUGCGAUACAAUCAUGUAAGCCAAAUGUGCAGGAUUCGUUUGCUGAAUUAGAAAUUACAUUGAACCCCGCAGCGAACUGGAACUUGAGAUGGCUUUAUGAGUCAGACUUUUGACGGUUUUAAGAAUCUUUUUGGAGUAUUAAAACAACUCACUGAGGGCUUCGACGCGAAAAGGAAUCUGCCCCAAUUCCAAUUUGAAAUAUUUAUAAUAGGUCUUUAGCGGAACCUUGCUUAUCAGCCCCUGUCACAGGAAAAGUUGUGGAGCAGCCCGGUGGAUCAAAAGUGUUACAGCCAACUGUUCUCAAUAGUACUAAGUGCUCUGGAGUACUCCCUUCAUCAGAAAGUCGGAGUUAAAAUGUUCAAAGUGUUUGUUACGGAACUGCAUCUUUCCCGGAGGGCAGCGCUGGCUAGCCACGGAGUCCCAGGGCGGAGUACCCCUUAUGCCCUGCAGUCCGAACAAUCGAUUCCGACUCAUCGGACGUCUCACGUCACUUACUUGACGAUUUACCAUCUCUACCACAAAGCAAAACAAAACAAAGCUAUAUUUGCAUCAAAACAUUGACAAUUGGACGAAAUUGGUGGCUUUGAUGUCCUUGCCACGACGCACCCACCCAACCUUGGGUGCCCCAAAAAGGAUGUAGGAGGCACGCCCCAUCUCCGGCAGACCGGAGUCUAUUCCUCGGCUCAUUUCCCCGCCCAAGAAACACUCAAGGCCGAUCUCAGACCGUCGCCCAGAUGAAAAGCGGUCAAAGCGGCAACAACCGAAGGGAAAUUUUUAGACGCUUAAUACUGCAAGUGUCAGGCAAAAAUCGCCGCACGGCACUAAAUUGGAGGCGUUUGCCAACCGGGUCGCCUAAUCCUGAGGAGCUCCAAGGGAAAAGAAGGGACGUGCUGAAAAUUUAAGUACGCUAAAUAAAUCCCACAAGUCAUUAAAUUUCGCGACCCAAUUUAUAGGUAGUUGGACGCGCGGCCAGGGUUCGGAAUUAAGCCUCUAAUUUUAGAUUAGAUUUCACACUUAUUUAUUGCAGAGUUCCUCGUCGGAUGUGGUUGAAACUGCAGCCAGAAUGGAAAAAUCUCUAGCGGCGAAAACCAGCGCGAGUCCGCACGGAGCCAAUUGGUCCGGAGGAUGGCGCAGCGUCCGCGUAAGAGGGGCCGGAGGCAGUGCGUCGGUGGACUUGGAGAUGACCACGUGGCCAGCGCGGGCAUUCGUUCCCGGAACGGACUCACCGAGGGAAUCUCCGUGUCUGGCCGUCUCGGAGGCGGUCGCUGUAGCUGCUGGCGCUGGAGGCUGCUGCUGCUGCUCCUGAUCGCUGCUGCGGCUGAUGCUGCUGCGGCUGAUGCUGCUGCGGCUGAUGCUGCUGCGGCUGAUGCUGCUGCGGCUGAUGCUGCUGCGGCCAAUGCUGCUGCGGCUAAUGCUGCGGCCAAUGCUGCUGCGGCUAAUGGACGACGACCAGGUUAGGUCCGCCUGCAACUAAAGCAAAACCCUGACCUACACCAAAGGCGUUCGCCAUUUUCCCUCCCGCUCUCUCAAGAUGGGUCAGCGAACGUAUUCAAGGCUAUUUAACCCAGUUAACGAGCGAACCGGGCUAAAUUUAAAUAGCUAAAUCCUCUCCCGCUAUCAAUAGUAGAUGUCACCACCGAAUCUUAUCGAUAGCGGGACCUGCUGACGUAUCGGUUCGUUUUAGUAUUUUCCAGACGGCUCCAACUGAAAAUGCAACAUGUUCAAGGUGUUGGUGGUGAGAAAACAUUUCAGUUGUUACCCAUAGGAAACAAUUAUUUGUUUCUCGGUUUACCCUAGCAACCACAUCUGAUGAUGUUAUGAAAAUAAUUCAAGAAAAGCACCCAUCUACAAAUAUUACAGUUGAAAAAAUUAAAUUUUCAUACGCUCGCAAGAUAUCCUAUUUUAAAAUAUCUUUUUAAGUUCUAAAUAAUACAAGUUUAUGGCUUGAUGAUGAACUAUUAAUAAAAGAAUUUGUUCCUAACAAACAAAUAAAUAAUAAUUAGUCUCCGAUUUAAGAGUCUGUUCCAUAGAACUGAACGCUUGUGUAUUUCUAACAUAUAAAAAUGUAAGGGGAUUUAAUAUGAAGUUACCUAGGAUGUUCGGUGACUCCUCUGCCUUUAAUGAACAUAUUUUAGUCUUCAUAGAAACUUGGCUGAAACCGGAGAUUUCAAACAACUGAUAACACUUAUAGAACCGAUCGCGUUUCUCUUAGGGGAGGUGGUUCUGUUAUUAUAUCCCCCCUAGAUCUGACAUCAUUUGUCUGUUAAAUCUGUUGAAUCUCUACUUUCUGACAGUGAUAAUUUGAUUGUUUUUAAUCUCCCAGGUAUAUCUUGGUCCUCUCCAAGUGGCUCAAAAAACUCCGCCUUUCCUUCAUUAGCAUGAAUUCUCAAUUAAGGUUUUUACUGACUCAUCUUUUUGUAAACUAUAUACUAUCUGGAACAAUUCUUUUAUUAUUCUACUCCAUAAAAAGGGAGGAAAGUCAAAUAUUCAAAAGUAUAGUGGUA